rnacentral:rRNA from 1 species
UGGUAGUGUAUUGGACAACCAUGGCAGUCACGGGUAACGGAGAAUUAGGGUUCGAUUCCGGAGAGGGAGCCUGAGAAACGGCUACCACAUCUACGGAAGGCAGCAGGAGCGAAAAUUGCCCAAUCCCGACACGGGGAGGCAGUGACGAGAAAUAACAACUCUUGGUUAUUCUAAGAAGUGUAAUGAGGAUAAUUUAAAACCCUUACCGAAAGCAAUUGGAGGGCAAGUCUGGUGCCAGCAGCCGCGGUAAUUCCAGCUCCAAUAGCGUAUAUUAAAGUUGUUGCAGUUAAAAAGCUCGUAGUUGAAGUUCUGGCUGUUCGAUCCUCGAGCUCUGUAGCCGAGGACUCGACAGUCAUCCGCUUGCAAAUAUAUGUUCGCCUUUAACCGGGCGGCUAUAUGAGUAAGCAAUUUACCUUGAGAAAAACAGAGUGUUCCAGGCAGGUUUGUCCGGAAUGCAUUAGCAUGGAAUAAUAGAAUAUGACUGAAGUCGAUUUAUUGGUUUGAGGCUUUAGUAAUGAUUAAUAGGAACAGUCGGGGGCAUUGGUACUUGACAGUCAGAGGUGAAAUUCUAGGAUUUGUCAAAGACUAACAAAUGCGAAAGCAUUUGCCAAGGAUGUUUUCAUUAAUCAAGAACGAAAGUUAAGGGAUCAAAGACGAUCAGA